rnacentral:rRNA from 1 species
CAUGGUUGUCGUCAGCUCGUGUCGUGAGAUGUUGGGUUAAGUCCCGCAACGAGCGCAACCCUUAUCUUCAGUAGCCAGCAAUUCGGUUGGGCACUCUGGAGAGACUGCCAGGGAUAACCUGGAGGAAGGUGGGGAUGACGUCAAAUCAUCAUGCCCCUUAUGAUUUGGGCUACACACGUGCUACAAUGGCGUAAACAAAGGGAAGCAGCCCUGUGAAGGUGAGCAAAUCCCAAAAAUAACGUCUCAGUUCGGAUUGUAGUCUGCAACUCGACUACAUGAAGCUGGAAUCGCUAGUAAUCGCGAAUCAGAAUGUCGCGGUGAAUACGUUCCCGGGUCUUGUACACACCGCCCGUCACACCAUGGGAGUCGGAAAUGCCCGAAGUCAGUGACCCAACCGUAAGGAGGGAGCUGCCGAAGGUGGAGCCGGUAACUGGGGUGAAGUCGUAACAAGGUAGCCGUAUCGGAAGGUGCGGCUGGAUCACCUC